GUCGUCGUGGUCGUGAAGGGCAGAUGCGAAGGGGAUAAUCGUGCUGUGAAUCAAUCGCCAAUCGUGAAGGGUAGUAUCUAGGCCACUGAACUYAGACUUGGGUURCCUGGAUUUAGCAAGAAUUCUGAAKAAAAUGCCACCAAAAUUGGGCAUACCAAGAACUUGAUGUCAGGAGCUAAAAGAGGGUUUUCUGAUGUUAACAUUAAUGGUUCUGGAAAAUGGGUUUUGAGUGGUGGAUCUGAAGCUGAUUUGGGUUUUGAGAAGAAGAAAGGCUCUGUUAAAGAAARUGGCACUUCUYCUCUUUCUGCUAACAGGUCCAAGGUCUCUUUUGUAGAGCAAGAGCAGAAAGUAGCAGCAACAAGAUCUGCAACCUAACAGCAAAAGGGUUUGUGGGUUGC